rfam:TPA: Bos taurus chromosome 13, whole genome shotgun sequence.
UCCCUGGUGGCUCAGAGGUUAAAGUGUCUUCCUGGAAUGCAGGAGACCCAGGUUUGAUUCCUGGGUCGGGAA